UGCCUAUGUAAUGUUCCACCUCUUUGGAGCAUUUGCAUUGGAGUGACUGGUGACUUGAAGCUCUGUAUGGUGGAGUGACUGAUGGUAGAUGAAGACUGCAAAAGCAGGUAUCUGAGGGAUGGAAGGCAUUCCUGGCAACCCUAAAACUACCCUACUGGGGGCCAUCCAAGCCUGUGAUUAACAAACCCUAGUUAUUUGCUAGGUAGUUUCCACAUGGCGGAGUAGGAUAUAUAUAUAAGGCACAAUACAGUGUUUAUGUGAGAAUAAUGUAGAUUAUUUGAAUCUAGGCUGCAGAACCUACCUGAAAAUGGGUUUUACAGUUUUGUAUAAUUGCCUUUUCUUUGUGUUUGCAUAGAAGGCAUUGCAUAGCUGGAAGAUGAUGGCAAUUAUAAUUUAUUAUGCUGUAAUUGUUACCUAAAUGUUUUUGAAUAAGCAAAAAUCACAUCUGUUUAGGAAUAAGUUGCACAGCAAGAGAAUUCCCUUUGAAAUGAAUGCCGUGUUCUCAUAUUCUGUAACUGUACACAUAAAACAACAUAUUUAUUUCCCCACUGAGUCCAUUACAUUCCCAAGUCAAACUGCAUCCUCUCUUCCCUUCCCAUAUUAAACCCUUUGAUUUAAUGGAGGUUUUAACUACUGGUUCUUUAGGGAAUUUUCAGUAGGCUUUGCACAGAUUAGGUUAUUGGAAAGUAUAGUUAUUUGCUUGUAAAGUGGCAGUUCUGUGUCAAAAUUGAUUUUCUCUGGAGCUGCAACAGUAAAAAAGAUAAGCUUCUGCUUUGCAUCCAAAAUGCCCUGAUGUUCCUAGCAUGAUCGUUUUUCCUUUGCUUCUCGCUCAGCACCAUUCGGUCACAGGCUGGUUUGGACAGGCGAAUAUGAGCACAUGUAGCCCAGAGGACUUUGAUAUCCAGUGGUGAUAACAGACAAGGCCUCUCUUCCAUUCUGGUUGCCACUGGUCUGUGACAACCAGUGUUCCAGGCAUGGUGAGCAUGGUGCUGCUUCCCUUCUCCGUUAAAUAGGAAAUGCAUAAGCCUGGAAAUCAUUUUGUUUGUUCCACAGAAAUGUAGCAGUUGAAAUAAUUACCUUGCCAUUGCCAGGCUAACAGGAUUUAUCUUCCAUUAUAGAUUUUGAAGACAUAUGCAAGCAUAGUUUACUCCUCUAAAUUUACUAGGCUACUCACUUUGAAAUGAUUUCAUUGUGAAAAAGAGAGCAGUCCUAGCUGGUGGCUUAGCCUAGAAAGGCUUUGAUAGCUAGAAAGAUGAAGUGCAGAAGUAUAUUCUCUAUUUUUCUGCUCCCAGCUCAUAAAAUAGAAUUAGUGUUUAUGUAAAUAGCAGAUAGCCUCAUUUUAUUUUUUAUGCCCCAGUUGCAAGUUAGGGGCUCUUUAAGAUGGGCCUCAAUCACUGAUCUUGUGUGCUUCCAGCACCUAUCUAUCUAUUAAGUAGCAUUCUAGUGGCCUCCAAGUACUUUAUUCUGAUCAGUACUUUAUUCUGAUCAGAGUCAGCCUGGGUGACCAAUGGGCUGUAUCAACAUGUUAUACCUCAGACCCACUGGAGGCCACAAUCUUUGAGUGUCUUUUGGAGGAUACUGUCCUAUGUUGUUCUAGAAUGCUGACUCCUACUGCUCCCUUUUUUUUUUUUUUAAGCCUCCAUUCUCUCUCUAUUUUUUUAUCUCAGGCCAGAUGCCCUUUAUAAAUUUUGAUUUUUUUGUUUUUUGGGUUUUGGUUUUGGAGUUUGGAUCUCUUAGUUUUCAUCCUGAAUACUGUUCCACACUGCAUAUUUAAUCAGUUAAAUCUUGGUCUCCUGGCUUUAAUCAUCAAAUGUUACUCUAUUACCUCAACUCUAUUGAGUUACUCCAACUCAACUGUUCCCACCUCAGGGUCUUUCACUACCUACUCAUAGGCAGUAGCCCCUUGUUUCUCUUCUUCGUGAAACCUGAGUUUUCCUUAACGUACUUGUCUCAGGCAUUAGUGGAUCUGUGAAGAAGUAUGACGUUAAGCUUAAAAGGAUCAAAAACUGUGCUUCCCUGUGUAUGUUUCAAGUUUCAUUUGUGUGACCAAGAGAGUUCAUAGUAUAGAUUUGAAGAGUUGAAUCAAGAAGCUAGGAUAUGAAUUCAUCUUAGUAAUAGCCUUUUGUCUACUUCAUCCAUCUGCCCAUCUGUCUAUCAAUCUGUAUACAUUAUUGAUAACUUCCAAUGUUACAAACACUGAGAAUACAAAAAAAAAAAA
ensembl:lncRNA